CGCGUAGGCGGUUUAGACAGUCAGGCGUGAAAUUCCUGGGCUUAACGUGGGCAUUGCAUUUGAAACUAUGUAGCUAGAGUUCUGUAGAGGGGGGUAGAAUUCCAGGUGUAGCGGUGAAAUGCGUAGAGAUCUGGAGGAAUACCGAUUGCGAAGGCAGCCCCCUGGACAGUGACUGACGCUCAUAUGCGAAAGCGUGGGGAUCAAACAGGAUUAGAUACCCCCGUA
rnacentral:rRNA from 1 species